CCUACGGGCGGCAGCAGUGGGGGAUAUUGCACAAUUGGGGAAACCCUGAUGCAGCGACGCCGCGUGGGUGAAGAAGUAUUUCGGUAUGUAAAGCCCUAUCAGCAGGGAAGAAAGAAGACGGUACCUGACUAAGAAGCCCCGGCUAACUACGUGCCAGCAGCCGCGGUAAUACGUAGGGGGCGAGCGUUAUCCGGAUUCACUGGGUGUAAAGGGAGCGUAGACGGCCGUGCAAGCCAGGAGUGAAAGCCCGGGGCCCAACCCCGGGACUGCUCUUGGAACUGUGCGGCUGGAGUGCGGGAGGGGCAGGCGGAAUUCCUGGUGUAGCGGUGAAAUGCGUAGAUAUCAGGAGGAACACCGGCGGCGAAGGCGGCCUGCUGGACCGCGACUGACGUUGAGGCUCGAAAGCGUGGGGAGCGAACAGGAUUAGAUACCCGAGUAGUC
rnacentral:rRNA from 1 species